GAACGCUGGCGGCGUGCUUAACACAUGCAAGUCGAACGAAGCUUCUGCACAGAUCCCUUCGGGGUGAAGAGUAGAAUGACUUAGUGGCGGACGGGUGAGUAACGCGUGGAUAACCUGCCCCAUACUGGGGGACAACAGUUGGAAACGACUGCUAAUACCGCAUAGACGCUAGGUGCCGCAUGACACUAAGCGAAAAACUCCGGUGGUAUGGGAUGGAUCCGCGUUGGAUUAGCUAGUUGGUGAGGUAACGGCUCACCAAGGCGACGAUCCAUAGCCGACCUGAGAGGGUGACCGGCCACAUUGGGACUGAGACACGGCCCAGACUCCUACGGGAGGCAGCAGUGGGGAAUAUUGCACAAUGGAGGAAACUCUGAUGCAGCAACGCCGCGUGAGCGAUGAAGUAUUUCGGUAUGUAAAGCUCUAUCAGCAGGGAAGAAGAUGACGGUACCUGACUAAGAAGCACCGGCUAAAUACGUGCC
rnacentral:rRNA from 1 species